rnacentral:rRNA from 1 species
UACGGAGGGUGCAAGCGUUGUCCGGAAUCAUUGGGCGUAAAGCGCACGUAGGUGGCUCUUUAAGUCUCUUGGUGAAAGGCUGGGGCUCAACCCCAUGCAUGCCGGGGAUACUGGGGAGCUGGAGACAGGUAGAGGCCAGCGGAAUUCCGGGUGUAGCGGUGGAAUGCGUAGAGAUCCGGAAGAACACCGGAGGCGAAGGCGGCUGGCUGGACCUGAUCUGACGCUGAGGUGCGAAAGCGUGGGGAGCGAACAGG